rnacentral:rRNA from 1 species
GAUGAACGCUGGCGGCGUGCCUAAUACAUGCAAGUCGAGCGAACGGACGAGAAGCUUGGUUCUCUGAUGUUAGCGGCGGACGGGUGAGUAACACGUGGAUAACCUACCUAUAAGACUGGGAUAACUUCGGGAAACCGUAGCUAAUACCGGAUAAUAUUUUGAACCGCAUGGUUCAAAAGUGAAAGACGGUCUUGCUGUCACUUAUAGAUGGAUCCGCGCUGCAUUAGCUAGUUGGUAAGGUAACGGCUUACCAAGGCAACGAUGCAUAGCCGACCUGAGAGGGUGAUCGGCCACACUGGAACUGAGACACGGUCCAGACUCCUACGGGAGGCAGCAGUAGGGAAUCUUCCGCAAUGGGCGAAAGCCUGACGGAGCAACGCCGCGUGAGUGAUGAAGGUCUUCGGAUCGUAAAACUCUGUUAUUAGGGAAGAACAUAUGUGUAAGUAACUGUGCACAUCUUGACGGUACCUAAUCAGAAAGCCACGGCUAACUACGUG